rnacentral:rRNA from 1 species
GAUGAACGCUGACAGAAUGCUUAACACAUGCAAGUCUACUUGAACUUCGGUUUGGGUGGCGGACGGGUGAGUAACGCGUAAAGAACUUGCCUCACAGUUAGGGACAACAUUUGGAAACGAAUGCUAAUACCUGAUAUUAUGGUUUUAGGGCAUCCUAAGAUUAUGAAAGCUAUAUGCGCUGUGAGAGAGCUUUGCGUCCCAUUAGCUAGUUGGAGAGGUAACGGCUCACCAAGGCGAUGAUGGGUAGCCGGCCUGAGAGGGUGAACGGCCACAAGGGGACUGAGACACGGCCCUUACUCCUACGGGAGGCAGCAGUGGGGAAUAUUGGACAAUGGACCAAAAGUCUGAUCCAGCAAUUCUGUGUGCACGAUGACGUUUUUCGGAAUGUAAAGUGCUUUCAGUUGGGAAGAAAAAAAUGACGGUACCAACAGAAGAAGUGACGGCUAAAUACGUGCCAGCAGCCGCGGUAAUACGUAUGUCACAAGCGUUAUCCGGAUUUAUUGGGCGUAAAGCGCGUCUAGGUGGUUAUGUAAGUCUGAUGUGAAAAUGCAGGGCUCAACUCUGUAUUGCGUUGGAAACUGCAUGACUAGAGUACUGGAGAGGUAAGCGGAACUACAAGUGUAGAGGUGAAAUUCGUAGAUAUUUGUAGGAAUGCCGAUGGGGAAGCCAGCUUACUGGACAGAUACUGACGCUAAAGCGCGAAAGCGUGGGUAGCAAACAGG